rnacentral:rRNA from 1 species
CAAGUCGAGCGAACGGACGGGAAGCUUGCUUCUCUGAUGUUAGCGGCGGACGGGUGAGUAACACGUGGAUAACCUACCUAUAAGACUGGGAUAACUUCGGGAAACCGGAGCUAAUACCGGAUAAUAUUUUGAACCGCAUGGUUCAAAAGUGAAAGACGGUCUUGCUGUCACUUAUAGAUGGAUCCGCGCUGCAUUAGCUAGUUGGUAAGGUAACGGAUUACCAAGGCAACGAUGCAUAGCCGACCUGAGAGGGUGAUCGGCCACACUGGAACUGAGACACGGUCCAGACUCCUACGGGAGGCAGCAGUAGGGAAUCUUCCGCAAUGGGCGAAAGCCUGACGGAGCAACGCCGCGUGAGUGAUGAAGGUCUUCGGAUCGUAAAACUCUGUUAUUAGGGAAGAACAUAUGUGUAAGUAACUGUGCACAUCUUGACGGUACCUAAUCAGAAAGCCACGGCUAACUACGUGCCAGCAGCCGCGGUAAUACGUAGGUGGCAAGCGUUAUCCGGAAUUAUUGGGCGUAAAGCGCGCGUAGGCGGUUUUUUAAGUCUGAUGUGAAAGCCCACGGCUCAACCGUGGAGGGUCAUUGGAAACUGGAAUACUUGAGUGCAGAAGAGGAAAGUGGAAUUCCAUGUGUAGCGGUGAAAUGCGCAGAGAUAUGGAGGUACACCAGUGGCGAAGGCGACUUUCUGGUCUGUAACU